AAUCCAUAGGUUAAUGAGGCGAACCGGGGGAACUGAAACAUCUAAGUACCCCGAGGAAAAGAAAUCAACCGAGAUUCCCCCAGUAGCGGCGAGCGAACGGGGAGGAGCCCAGAGCCUGAAUCAGCAUGUGUGUUAGUGGAAGCGUCUGGAAAGGCGCGCGAUACAGGGUGACAGCCCCGUACACAAAAGCGCAUGUGCUGUGAGCUCGAUGAGUAGGGCGGGACACGUGGUAUCCUGUCUGAAUAUGGGGGGACCAUCCUCCAAGGCUAAAUACUCCUGACUGACCGAUAGUGAACCAGUACCGUGAGGGAAAGGCGAAAAGAACCCCGGCGAGGGGAGUGAAAAAGAACCUGAAACCGUGUACGUACAAGCAGUGGGAGCCCCACCACCAAAGCAUU
rnacentral:rRNA from 1 species